GAUGAACGCUGGCGGCGUGCCUAAUACAUGCAAGUCGAGCGAACAGACGAGGAGCUUGCUCCUCUGAUGUUAGCGGCGGACGGGUGAGUAACACGUGGAUAACCUACCUAUAAGACUGGGAUAACUUCGGGAAACCGGAGCUAAUACCGGAUAAUAUAUUGAACCGCAUGGUUCAAUAGUGAAAGACGGUUUUGCUGUCACUUAUAGAUGGAUCCGCGCCGCAUUAGCUAGUUGGUAAGGUAACGGCUUACCAAGGCAACGAUGCGUAGCCGACCUGAGAGGGUGAUCGGCCACACUGGAACUGAGACACGGUCCAGACCCCUACGGGAGGCAGCAGUAGGGAAUCUUCCGCAAUGGGCGAAAGCCUGACGGAGCAACGCCGCGUGAGUGAUGAAGGUCUUCGGAUCGUAAAACUCUGUUAUUAGGGAAGAACAAAUGUGUAAGUAACUAUGCACGUCUUGACGGUACCUAAUCAGAAAGCCACGGCUAACUACGUG
rnacentral:rRNA from 1 species